rnacentral:rRNA from 1 species
AGAAUUUGAUCUUGGUUCAGAUUGAACGCUGGCGGCGUGGAUUAGACAUGCAAGUCGCACGAAGUAGCAAUACUUAGUGGCGGAAGGGUUAGUAAUACAUGGUUAACUCACCCUCAACUCAGGAAUAACACUCGGAAACGGGUGCUAAUACUGGAUAUGGUGGCAGUAGGCAUCUACUGUUUAUCAAAGUGUGGGAUCGUAAGACCAUGCGGUUGAGGAGAGGACCAUGAGAUAUCAGCUAGUUGGUGCGGUAAUGGCGCACCAAGGCUAAGACGUCUAGGCGGGCUGAGAGGUUGACCGCCAACACUGGGACUGAGACACUGCCCAGACUCCUACGGGAGGCUGCAGUCGAGAAUAAUUCGCAAUGGGCGCAAGCCUGACGAUGCGACGCCGCGUGAGUGAUGAAGGCCUUAGGGUUGUAAAACUCUUUCGCUUGGGAAUAAGGAAGGUCGUUUAAUAGACGGCCGACUUGAAGGUACCAGGUAAAGAAGCACCGGCUAACUCCGUGCCAGCAGCUGCGGUAAUACGGAGGGUGCAAGCGCUAAUCGGAUUUAUUGGGCGUAUAGGGCGUCUAGGUGGCUAGGAAAGUCAGAUGUGAAAUCCCGGGGCUUAACUCCGGAACAGCAUUUGAAACUCCCUGGCUAGAGGGUAGUCGGAGAAAACGGAAUUCCAUGUGUAGCGGUGAAAUGCAUAGAUAUAUGGAAGAACACCCGUGGCGAAAGCGGUUUUCUAGGUUAUCCCUGACACUCAAGCGCGAAAACAAGGGGAUCAAACAGGAUUAGAUACCCUGGUAGUCCUUGCCGUAAACGAUGCAUACUAGAUGUAGUUGGAAUCAACCCCGACUGUGUCGUAGCUAACGCGUUAAGUAUGCCGCCUGGGGAGUACACUCGCAAGGGUGAAACUCAAAAGAAUUGACGGGGACCCGCACAAGCAGUGGAGCAUGUGGUUUAAUUCGAUGCUACGCGAAAAACCUUACCCAGACUUGACAUGUAGGAGACCGGUCCAGAGAUGGACUUUUCCGCAAGGACUGCUACACAGGUGCUGCAUGGCUGUCGUCAGCUCGUGCCGUGAGGUGUUGGGUUAAGUCCCGCAACGAGCGCAACCCUUAUCAUUAGUUGCCAGCGAGUAAUGUCGGGGACUCUAAUGAGACUGCCUGGGUUAACCAGGAGGAAGGUGAGGAUGAGGUCAAGUCAGCAUGGCCCUUAUGUCUGGGGCUACACACGUGCUACAAUGGUCGGUACAGAAGGUUGCUAAGCCGCGAGGUGGAGCUAAUCCUAGAAAGCCGGCCCCAGUUCGGAUUGUAGUCUGCAACUCGACUACAUGAAGCCGGAAUUGCUAGUAAUGGCAGGUCAGCAUACUGCCGUGAAUACGUUCUCGGGUCUUGUACACACCGCCCGUCACAUCAUGGAAGUUGCUUUCACCCGAAGUCACUGACUCAACCGCAAGGGGAGAGGUGCCGAAGGUGAGGGCGAUGACUGGGAUGAAGUCGCAACAAGGUA